rnacentral:rRNA from 1 species
UACGAGGGGGGCAAGCGUUGUUCGGAAUUAUUGGGCGUAAAGGGUGCGUAGGCGGUCUGACAAGUCUGAUGUGAAAUCUAUGGGCUCAACCCGUAGUCUGCAUCGGAAACUGUCGGGCUUGAGUAUGGGAGAGGUGAGUGGAAUUCCCAGUGUAGAGGUGAAAUUCGUAGAUAUUGGGGAAGAACACCGGUGGCGAAGGCGGCUCACUGGCUCAUUACUGACGCUCGAGGCGCGAUAGACGUGGGGAUCAAACAGG